AGUCUUUCUCUCUUAUUCCCCAGAUUAUAUGCAAUGGUAUAUGGCAAGGAAUAAUUUUGUUCAAGAUAACUAUCAAAUGUGUCUUACUAUAAAUGAAGCAGGAAGUGGCCCGGGAAAAUAUAAUCAUGAUGACAUACAAAGAGUUACUAUGAAUCUGCAGUUGGCUUUCUCUCCUAGAGAGAAGUGUUGGUAUGAACUGGCUAUAGUUCAUAUAAGUGAUGGCAUAACUAAGAAGAGUCAACAUUGAGUAAAAUAUGCUGCUGAUGUUAUGGUUGCCAAAAAAUUUUAUACUGUAAAGUGACUAAAAGGAGGAAGUGGAGUAGAUGAAGAUGUACAUGUGCCCUGCUUGAAAUUUACAGUACAUAUUAAUAGAGAGAAGCAGAGUUAAGAAAUGACAGUACUGAGGGUAAACUGAGGUGUGGCUUUAUUGGUUGUUGAUCAAUUGAAGAGGAUUUAACUCAUUAUAGGUAGAGUAAAAUGACCUUAUUGAAAUAAUAGUGAAGUAGGUGUUCAUAAUAUCCAGCCUAUUGUCAUUGUACCUUAUAUACCUUACAAUGUUCAAGGUAUGCUGUGUUUGUAUACGUGUACAUGUACAUUAUUGCUUGUUUUUACAACUAUGUACUUAGAUCUACUAUAUGCAAUGAACCUUAAUAUACAUAUACUAGUAACUAUUACCAUAAAUCUUCUAAAUAUUCAACAUUCUAACUUCGUCAAAUAAAUAUUUUUUCCCAAAUUUUCACAAUAUUACUUCUAAUUAUUCGAUUAUGCAAAAUUACUGGCUGAGUAUUCUAAUUUCGACAUAAUCCUCUUAUUUCAGCACAUGAUUGACCACGUGCUUCAGUCUACCUUACCAAGCAGCUGAGACUUUAGAAUGACCCUCCCUCCAAUUUAGUCAAUAAAAAUUAUUUAAAAGUAAAAAAAAAAACAUUUUUAACCUCUAAUUUUUCAAUAUUAAUAAUUUUAAGGUGAAUUUAAUUUGCCGAAUUUUUAGAAGAUUUACAGUAUACUAUUUUGUCACUUGGACUUGGCCUGAAUCUAUUUGGCUCUGGGCUACAUGUGUAGGCUCUGUAUUAGUAAUUAAUUUUCACGCACUUAACUGAUCAUACUAUUAUUGUUAAAGAUAAUACAUAUUUCAUUUAACUGUUGAAAGUAAAUUUAAUGCACAUACAUGUUACUGAAAAACAUAAUGUAGCUCUACUAAUUACUUUACUCUUUAUU